rnacentral:rRNA from 1 species
GACGAACGCUGGCGGCGUGCCUAAUACAUGCAAGUCGAGCGGACUUGACAGAGCUUGCUCUGUUCAAGUUAGCGGCGGACGGGUGAGUAACACGUGGGCAACCUGCCCUGCAGAUUGGGAUAACUCCGGGAAACCGGGGCUAAUACCGAAUAACAUUGAAAACCUCAUGGUUUUCUUUUAAAAGGCGGCUUCGGCUGUCACUGCAGGAUGGGCCCGCGGCGCAUUAGCUAGUUGGUGAGGUAACGGCUCACCAAGGCAACGAUGCGUAGCCGACCUGAGAGGGUGGUCGGCCACACUGGGACUGAGACACGGCCCAGACUCCUACGGGAGGCAGCAGUAGGGAAUCUUCCGCAAUGGACGAAAGUCUGACGGAGCAACGCCGCGUGAGUGAAGAAGGUUUUCGGAUCGUAAAACUCUGUUGUUAGGGAAGAACAAGUAUCGGAGUAACUGCCGGUACCUUGACGGUACCUGACCAGAAAGCCACGGCUAACUACGUGCCAGCAGCCGCCGUAAGAC